rnacentral:lncRNA from 7 species
CUCUUUGUGUUAGGAGCUAUUGUUCAGAACAGUAGAAGAACAGGGGAAAAGAAAACAGAACUUCAGAAUGCUUAGAGGUUAUUUGGUCAUUAUCUGCUAGAAAAAAAAGAGGAGGAUGUAAAAACUACCUGUCAUAUCUCCUGUGAAAAUGAAAAUCAUGUUUCACAUGGUCGGACAAGGACAUCUACUCAUUUCAUUUUCAAAUGUAUUUUUUAAAGAUUUUGAAAAAGUGCUUUAUCUCACUGGUAAUUAUUUCCAUGCAAGAAAGAUGUGGGGAAACUUUACUGUUACACAAGGUAAGAAUUUAAUUGUGCCAGACAUUAUGAAGAAAAAUCAACUCUGUUGCAGCUGAAACCAUGACUGCUGCUGUUUUAAUAAACAAGUAAAAUAAAAGAAUGUAAAAGAAAAAAAAAUAGCAUAUUGUCCAUGCUGCUUCUUGUGAGUUGAAACUUGUGUAGAGUAGCCUAACAAUCAGUUGUAUCUAAUGUAAUCGUCAGCGGUCUGCUGCUGAGCCAAGGGAUAUGUUUUGAGAAUAUUGGAUUUCAUGAUCUUGUCAUGUUUAUUUGCUCAGGAGCAAGGGGUUUUGAUUUUACUAGCCAUUGAAAGGUCCAAAAUUUUUUCUAAUUUAGUAAGCUGUAAAUUGUGUGGAGAAGUUGGAAUGGAAACAAGUGCUCAGUCAAUUGCAUGAGCAAUUAAUUAAUUGUUCACCUGUCUGGAAAUACCCGAUUCUAAUUAUGCUCAAACAACUAUGUAAAUAUUAACAUCACUCAUAAAUAAAUAAGUAUAAAUGUAAUUUACAUCACUCUUCAUUUGCAUAGCAGUUUCCACAACAGUAACUCUGUCCUUACCCAUGCAAUAAAUAACUCUACAUGCUC